UUUAUUUACAGAGAGCAGAAGCUGCCGAACAGAGACGGAGAGAGCGGGAAGCUGCCGAAUGCAAACGGGGAAUUGUCGAGUCUGUCAAUGAGAAUAUAGCGGUUGUCGUUCAGGAAGUAAAUACCGUUAAAGAACAACAGUGCAGCAUCAGUUGAGGAGAUGGCUACACAGAUCUACUUUACCUUGAUGAUGACGACGAGCAGCAGGUGACGAGAGUGAGGCUACACUUUACCUGUUGGUCAGGGGCAGCACGCCUCUGUACCCCCCUCCCCCCUCCUCCACCCCUUCUCCUCCCCCCCCUCCACCCCUUCUCCUGCCUCCCCUCCCCCCUUUGUUUUGGUUGUCUCUACACAAUGUUUUUUAAUGCAAUAGAAAAUAUUUAUGUUUCUAUCCAUAUUCUGAUUUUUUUUAAGAAAUUUGUGGGUCUGGAUUAAUCUUUUGCCACGUCCAUUUUUCAAGAUAAAAUAAUAUAACCUUAUGAAAUACUUUGUCUUUCAUUAGGUUUAUUUUCAACACAACUGUUGUAACUCGAGUGAAGAUGAGGUGUGGUGGUGGGGUUUUCUUGUUCAAACACGUGGCAACAAUGGUGUUGUGAUGUAUCACUACGACUGUAAUUCGAGUGAAGAGAUGUGGUGGUUGUUUGAGCACCUGAGGUCGUACUACCUGUCAGUCCAGGCAGGUGUUGUAAUUAGGUUUAGAAGUAAUGAUUAUUAUUUAUAGUCAGGGUCAAAAGUCCGUGUGAAAUAACUUUGAACUCAAAUGAGAUAAAACAGCACACCCGCUCUAGAUGACAGUCAAAGUACGUAUAUGUAAGUUCGGAGACUCAUUCCCAUGACACCGUUUCACUGCUCCACACGAAGUAUUGACCCUGACUAUAUUUAUAAUGAUAUCAUAGGUGAGAGAAUAGUAGUAGUCGUAGUAGCAACAGUAAUAGUGCGCCUCAACUAACUCAACACAGCUAGGAUAGUUACUUAUGUAUUAGGAUAUUUGUGGGGACUGGGAGUAAGAUGUUUCUGUGCGGAAUUGGCCCAGGUUGUGGCCUGGUUAAGGUUUCGCCCGUCCUUCUCUGCUUCGGUCUGCAUUGCUUUGCCUCAGGAAACAAGAUAUCGCCCCCUAAGCCAACGGCGGUCGCAGAAAUUGACUGUGAGGCAGCAGUCACUGAAUGCCGCAUGGAUCUGUGGCUCAACUGAGGUAGCUUCUUUUGUAUUAGGAUAUCAAAUAUUAAGGUAAUAAAAUGGAGGUGAAGGUGUGGCUAUAGGGGGAGGUUGGAGGGCAGUUCUAAUUCACUGUUGUUGUAUUUUGAGAAAAAUAGUAGUAGUAGUAGCAACAGUAAUAGUAGUAGUAGUAGUAGUAGUAGUAGUAGUAGCAGCAGAAGUAGUAGUAGUAGGAUUGUUUUUGUUUCCCCAAACAUACAAGACAGACAGUACAAAUAUUAAGAUAUAAACAUCUUUUAAGAGCCAUAUGUUAAUGCUCCUAGUUGCUGUAUAUAGCAGGUAGACAAUUUCAAGUCAUGUAUAUAGAUUAAAUUGAUCUGCUUGUGUUGUAAAGAUGUUCUCAUGUGCCUUAAAAAUGGUGUUAGUAUUAUUAACUUGAGGACAUUAAGGUAUUGAAGUUUGAGACAAAUAAUGAUGUGAACACCAUGUGAAUAUUUAUUAGGCACAGUAGUAGGUAGUAGGCAGCUACCAAACAGGGAGGUACUACCGCCUGGGAAGAUAUUGGAAGCAUAACGUAUUGUCUAAUGGUAGACCCUGCUGCCAUUGGC
rnacentral:lncRNA from 1 species